AACGAACGCUGGCGGCAUGCCUAACACAUGCAAGUCGAACGAGACCUUCGGGUCUAGUGGCGCUCGGGUGCGUAACGCGUGGGAACCUGCCCUUAGGUUCGGAAUAACUCCCCGUAAGGGGUGCUAAUACCGGUUAAUGUCUUCGCGCCAAAGAUUUAUCGCCUUUGGAUGGGCCCGCGUUGGCUUAGCUGGUUGGUAGUGUAAAAGCCUACCAAGGCGACGUUCCAUAGCUGGUCUGAGAGGAUGAUCAGCCACACUGGGACUGAGACACGGCCCAAACUGCUAGGGGAGGCAGCAGUGGGGAAUAUUGGACAAUGGGCGAAAGCCUGAUCCAGCAAUGCCGCGUGAGUGAUGAAGGCGUUAGGGUUGUAAAGCUCUUUGAGACGAGAUGAUAAUGACAGUACCGGGAGAAUAAGCACCGGCUAACUCCGUG
rnacentral:rRNA from 1 species